CGGUACAUGCAAGUAGAACGCUUCUUACUUAGUGCUUGCACUAAGUAAGAGGAGUUGCGAACGGGUGAGUAACGCGUAGGUAACCUACCUUAUAGCGGGGGAUAACUAUUGGAAACGAUAGCUAAUACCGCAUAAGAAGAGUUAACACAUGUUAAUUCUUUAAAAGGGGCAACUGCUCCACUAUGAGAUGGACCUGCGUUGUAUUAGCUAGUUGGUGAGGUAACGGCUCACCAAGGCAACGAUACAUAGCCGACCUGAGAGGGUGAUCGGCCACACUGGGACUGAGACACGGCCCAGACUCCUACGGGAGGCAGCAGUAGGGAAUCUUCGGCAAUGGACGAAAGUCUGACCGAGCAACGCCGCGUGAGUGAAGAAGGUUUUCGGAUCGUAAAGCUCUGUUGUUAGAGAAGAAUUGAUGGUGGGAGUGGAAAAUCCACC
rnacentral:rRNA from 1 species